AACGAACGCUGGCGGCAGGCCUAACACAUGCAAGUCGAACGCAUCGCAAGAUGAGUGGCGCACGGGUGAGUAACACGUGGGAAUAUAUCCUUUGGUUCGGAAUAACGUCUGGAAACGGACGCUAAUACCGGAUGAGCCCUUAGGGGGAAAGAUUUAUCGCCGAAGGAGCAGCCCGCGUCUGAUUAGGUAGUUGGUGGGGUAAAGGCCUACCAAGCCGACGAUCAGUAGCUGGUCUGAGAGGAUGAUCAGCCACACUGGGACUGAGACACGGCCCAGACUCCUACGGGAGGCAGCAGUGGGGAAUAUUGGACAAUGGGCGCAAGCCUGAUCCAGCCAUGCCGCGUGAGUGAUGAAGGCCUUCGGGUUGUAAAGCUCUUUCGCACACGACGAUGAUGACGGUAGUGUGAGAAGAAGCCCCGGCUAACUUCGUGCCAGCCGCCGCUGUAACAC
rnacentral:rRNA from 1 species